rnacentral:rRNA from 1 species
GAUGAACGCUGGCGGCGUGCCCAAUACAUGCAAGUCGAACGGAGAUUGUAGCAAUACGGUCUCAGUGGCGAACGGGUGAGUAACGCGUUGGUGACCUGCCCCAAAGAGCGGGAUAACAGUUCGAAAGGACUGCUAAUACCGCAUGUGAUCUCCGGGACUAGAAGCCUGGAGAUGGAAGGGAGAAAUCCGCUUUGGGAGGGACCUGCGUCCCAUCAGCUAGUUGGUAGGGUAACGGCCUACCAAGGCGAUGACGGGUAGGGGACCUGAGAGGGUGGCCCCCCACAAUGGAACUGAAACACGGUCCAUACACCUACGGGUGGCAGCAGUAGGGAAUAUUGGUUAAUGGGCGAAAGCCUGAACCAGCAACGCCGCGUGUGCGAUGAAGGCCUUCGGGUCGUAAAGCACUUUUUGAAGGGAUGAGGAAGGACAGUACCUUCAGAAUAAGUCUCGGCUAACUACGUG